GAAGAUGUCAAAGCGGUGUUUUUAGGUCCGGGUGGAGGGUCAGCACAGGGACACUUGCACGUGUUAAUAGACGUGACACACGACCUCCAAUAACUCUAAUUAUCCACUAACUCAUCUUAUUGUCAUUUAUUUAACUUAUUAACGCUUUCCGCCGAGUUUCGACCCCCAGAUUGAAUUUCAGCUGGGGGAGGACAUGAAAUAGCGAAUGGAGUUGUAACACAUUUUUUUUUUGUCUUUAUCUUGUCUCAGAUAAACAGACUGGAGAUCUGAAACUCAACUUGUAAACUCAGCUUUUCCUUUAGGCUGUAGACAAGUUGAAUGCUCACGAGGUCCUUUCUGAAAGCGCUGAAUGAUUCAAAGGAGAGUGGGGGGAAAGAAGUAGGCGAGUUUCAGUCCCAUAAAGUUAAGGUUACAGCACUUUGGAGGUGAAGUUGUGCUCCAUGAGUGGCAACUUUGAGAAAAAACUGGGUGAAUAUGGUCGAUAAACGAGCGCUGGGAGACAGUAAAGUAAACUCGGAGCAAAGUAAAGCGGACUUGGAGAACCAUGACAAGGAGCUGGAGGCAGCGGGAGACGCGGCGCGGCUCCCCGGCGAGCAGGCGUCGGAGGACGGCCACGGAGCUCCGCCGGAGACGCGCCUGUACAAGCGCCGCUGGAUGAUGGUGCUCAUGUUCAGCUCCUAUUCGCUGUGCAACUCCUACCAAUGGAUCCAGUACGGCAUCAUCGGCAAUAUUUUCAUGAAGUUCUACAACGUGGAGUCGUUCACCAUAGACUGGAUGUCCAUGAUCUACAUGCUGACAUACAUCCCGUUCAUCUUCCCGGUCACCUGGCUGCUGGACAAGAAGGGGCUGCGGGUGGUGGCGCUGGCCGCCACGGCGCUCAACUGCGCCGGGACGUGGAUCAAGGUGGCCAGCGUCCGCCCGGACCUGUUCCCCGUCACCUUCCUGGGGCAGUUCUGCUGCUCCUGCGCGCAGGUCUUCAUCCUGGGCAUGCCGUCCAGAAUCGCCUCAGUGUGGUUCGGCUCGGAGGAAGUGUCCACCGCCUGCUCCAUCGGAGUCUUUGGGAAUCAGCUGGGGAUUGCCAUCGGAUUCCUCAUGCCCCCCAUCCUGGUGCCUAAUGGCGAUGACAUGGAUGAGCUGGCUCAGCAUAUCAGAGUGAUGUUUUACAUAACAGCUGGAGUGGCAACAUUUCUCUUCAUUCUCGUUGUUUUUGUUUUCCAGGAGCGUCCAAAACUUCCUCCAACUCAGGCCCAGGCCACAGCUCGCAGCAUCCCACCUGAGCAGUACUCCUACAUGGCCUCCAUCCUCAGACUACUGCGCAACAGGCCCUUCCUCCUCCUCAUCCUCACAUAUGGUCUGAAUGUGGGUUGUUUCUACGCUGUCGGGACCCUGCUGAACCGCAUGAUCAUCUUACAUUACCCUGGAGAAGAGGUGAAUGCUGGGAGGAUUGGCCUCACUAUCGUCAUUGCGGGGAUGCUUGGCUCCCUCAUCUGCGGCGUCUGGCUCGACAGAACUAAAACGUACAAGCAGACGACUCUGGCCGUCUACUUCAUGUCUCUGGUUGGGAUGAUCGUCUACGCCGCCACACUCAGUCUGGGACACCUCUGGGUGGUUUUCAUCACAGCUGGAUCUCUUGGGUUCUUUAUGACGGGCUACUUGCCUCUGGGCUUUGAGUUUGCAGUUGAACUGACGUACCCAGAGUCGGAGGGAACUUCUUCUGGAAUGCUGAACUGUUCAGCACAGGUGUUCGGCAUCAUAUUCACCAUCUGCCAGGGGAAGAUCAUCGACAAUUUCGGCACGCUGCCAGGAAACAUCUUCUUGUGCGUUUUCCUUCUAAUAGGCACAAUAAUGACAGGUUUAAUUAAGUCCGACCUCCGGAGACAGAACGCAAAUCUACGGGCCAAAGCAGAAGCGGAGGGGCAGAUGCCGGGACCAGACUACGGAGCAACAGCACUAAUCUCCCAGCAGCAGACUCCCCCUUCUCAAGCCUGAUCAAUAAAACUUUUCUGUUUUAAACAAAAUCUGCUCAAAUCUUAGCCUGACACAGAGCAGCACAAAGGUACCGUCCAGCUGUGAAAGUGGAAGUCCAGAUGCACCUUCAGUCAUCGGAGACGUCCAGUUUUAGACACCAACAAUGAGCCUCUGAAAUAACCUUCAUUACAAUACUGUAACAGUAACCAGAAACGUUUUAGAUACGCUUCUUUCCUAACAACCAUAGUUUCAUAUAAGUCAUUGAUCAGAAGUCUCUUUUUAUAUUUACCUGUGAAUUAAGUGAUUUCACUAAACCUGCGAGACAAAUCAGAGAAGCAGCUGACUCUUGACAGAGUUAUCCGACAAUUAAGUGCAGUUAAUUAUUUCAGGUAUACACAUACACAGUUGUUAGACACUACGUUUGUCAUUGCAUACACACUGGUUCAUGUAAAUACUGUACAUGUUUUUUUUUGUUUUUUUUAUUCCGGAUUUUUUUUCCCAUUUUUACCACCCAGUGCUCCUACCUAAGUCAGUCCUGGGCAUUGCUCACCCUCUACCAGGGCCAUACUGAGCUCAAGUCUCCUCCUUAACUUGAGGAGUGAACCGGCCGCUUCUUUUCACCAGAAAGGCCCUUUCGCCAAUCCCACCCAGGGUGUGGGUGCUGAAGUCAUGGGGGAACUUAACACGCACUCAGCACCCACAGCGUCCCAGGGACUUCUAGCUGUGAGACGGCCCCCCCCACUCUACAUGUUUUUAUGAUAGAAGAUUGUGACUAGAUUUCUAAUUCAUGCCAGUAAGGGAAACAGAAACGAUAUUUUGUAGUUGUGCUGGUUGACACUAUUCAUGUUUUUAUUUAACAUGAAAUAAAACUAUUUUAUAAAGCUUCCUUUUGAAUAAUUUUUUACAUUACUAUAAAGUAUAUUUAAGAUGAGCUAUACCCAAUGCGAUGUUAAGAAUGACAUAUUUGCACAGAUCUGCAGUUUUAUCAUUCUUUUACCAGAAUACAGAUGGUAUUAAUUAAAUAUAGGGAAUGUUUAAUGUUUAAUAUGUUGCUGUUUGAUAGGAAAUGAGCCCCAAGCAUGCAUGCAAACAUGAGCGAUAUCUCAAAUGUUAUCAGGGAAUCAAGAUUAAACUGCUGAUGGAAAGAUGAAGAUUGAUGCAGGUUUUGUAGGAGAUUGUGUGACUCGUCUGAUUCUAAAAUGAGUGAAUGAAACAGCAAACAGAUGUUGGGUAAUCCUUCAGUCCAAUCUUAGCAAUAAUCGAUCAGCACAAUCUUUAGAAGUUGUUGUGAUAAAAUAAAACAUUAGCCACACUGCCAUGUGCUCACAACUGUAUAAUUUCCUUUUCGUUUUUUUUUUAAACAAAUGGUUUACACGUCACAUGACAUGUUUAGCAGCACUGUGUGUAACUGUUUUGACCACAUGGGGGCAGCAUUGCAACAUAAUAAAAGACUCAGCAGAGCUUGACAUGAGGGGCAGAAAGGAACAAAAACAUUGCGUGCUGUUGAUUUGAACGUCAAAACAAAUGCUCAUUGUUUUAACAUCAACUUUGAUCAUGUAGGGCACAGAUGACCCCCCCCCCCCC